UACGGAGGGAGCUAGCGUUGUUCGGAAUUACUGGGCGUAAAGCGCACGUAGGCGGCAAUUCAAGUCAGGGGUGAAAUCCCGGGGCUCAACCCCGGAACUGCCCUUGAAACUGGAUCGCUAGAAUCUUGGAGAGGCGAGUGGAAUUCCGAGUGUAGAGGUGAAAUUCGUAGAUAUUCGGAAGAACACCAGUGGCGAAGGCGACUCGCUGGACAAGUAUUGACGCUGAGGUGCGAAAGCGUGGGGAGCAAACAGG
rnacentral:rRNA from 1 species